UCUACGGGUGGCUGCAGUGAGGAAUAUUGGUCAAUGGCCGAGAGGCUGAACCAGCCAAGUCGCGUGAGGGAAGACGGCCCUACGGGUUGUAAACCUCUUUUGUCGGGGAGCAAAGAGAGUCACGUGUGACUCAUUGAGAGUACCCGAAGAAAAAGCAUCGGCUAACUCCGUGCCAGCAGCCGCGGUAAUACGGAGGAUGCGAGCGUUAUCCGGAUUUAUUGGGUUUAAAGGGUGCGCAGGCGGAGGUGCAAGUCAGCGGUCAAAUUGCGGGGCUCAACCCCGUACUGCCGUUGAAACUGGUUUUCGUGAGUGAGUGAGAAGUAUGCGGAAUGCGUGGUGUAGCGGUGAAAUGCAUAGAUAUCACGCAGAACUCCGAUUGCGAAGGCAGCAUACCGGCGCUCAACUGACGCUCAUGCACGAAAGUGUGGGUAUCGAACAGGAUUAGAUACCCUAGUAGUC
rnacentral:rRNA from 1 species